AGUGAACGCUGGCGGUAGGCCUAACACAUGCAAGUCGAACGGCAGCACAGUAAGAGCUUGCUCUUACGGGUGGCGAGUGGCGGACGGGUGAGGAAUACAUCGGAAUCUACUUUUUCGUGGGGGAUAACGUAGGGAAACUUACGCUAAUACCGCAUACGACCUACGGGUGAAAGCAGGGGAUCUUCGGACCUUGCGCGAUUGAAUGAGCCGAUGUCGGAUUAGCUAGUUGGCGGGGUAAAGGCCCACCAAGGCGACGAUCCGUAGCUGGUCUGAGAGGAUGAUCAGCCACACUGGGACUGAGACACGGUCCAGACUCCUACGGGAGUCAGCAGUGGGGAAUAUUGGACAAUGGGCGCAAGCCUGAUCCAGCCAUACCGCGUGGGUGAAGAAGGCCUUCGGGUUGUAAAGCCCUUUUGUUGGGAAAGAAAAGCAGCAGGUUAAUACCCCGCUGUUCUGACGGUACCCAAAGAAUAAGCACCGGCUAACUUCGUG
rnacentral:rRNA from 1 species